rnacentral:rRNA from 1 species
GGGUGACAGGUGGUGCAUGGUUGUCGUCAGCUCGUGUCGUGAGAUGUUGGGUUAAGUCCCGCACCGAGCGCAACCCUCGACCUUAGUUGCCAGCAUUCAGUUGGGCACUCUAAGGUGACUGCCGGCUAAAAGUCGGAGGAAGGUGGGGAUGACGUCAAAUCAUCAUGCCCCUUGUGACCUGGGCUACACACGUGCUACAAUGGGCGGUACAAAGGGUCGCGAACCCGCGAGGGGGAGCCAAUCCCAAAAAAGCCGCUCUCAGUUCGGAUUGCAGGCUGCAACUCGCCUGCAUGAAGCCGGAAUCGCUAGUAAUCGCGGAUCAGCAUGCCGCGGUGAAUACGUUCCCGGGCCUU